GGAUGUGAGGGUGAUCUGGCUGCAACAUCUGUCACCCCAUUGAUCGCCAGGGUUGAUUCAGCUGAUCUGGCUGGCUAGGCGGGUGUCCCCUUUCUCCCUCACCCCUCCACGUGCAUCCCUCCUGAAACUGCAUGCUUGGUCGAAGAGGAUGACCAUCCCCAACAGAGGAAGACCAGUCUUUGGUCAAGGGUAUACGAGUAUCUGUGCUCCCUUGCAAGAACCCCCAAACAAGCCCUCAAAAUAGAUGCUCAAUAAAUAGUUGUGCAUUGAAAAAGAAAAGCACCUGCCAAUGCUUGUUUCGAUGUGGAAUCCUAGGCUCCACC
rfam:Pongo abelii chromosome 7.